UUGGACAAGACAAACCAACAGAAGGAAAAGAGCCCAAGAGAAGGCACAAGAGAGAGAGAUUCUCAUUCACACACUCAGGAAUCCUACAAAAACACUCAAGUGGAAGCCAUAUGAGCACAUGGCGCUUCAGUCUCUCUGAGUUCCUAUGAGCUUUGCUUAUGUUGAUUUAGAGGGCUCUGAUUUCUUGGAGUCCUCUGUCACCUCUGACUCUUACACUCUUUCUGCCUCCUCUUCUGAGGAGCUCCCUGAGGUCUAAGGAGAGAGGUUUUAUUCAGCCUGCUUUCUUAUAGCACCGGGGACCACCAGCCCAGGAAUGGCACUACUCACAAUGGAACUCCCACGUCCAUCACUGAGAAGAUGUCCUACAGGUUUGCCUACACCCCAGUUUAUGGAUAGUUUUCUCAAUUGAGACUCCCUCCUCUCCAAUGACUAGCUUGUAUCACAUUGACUUAAAACUAGCUAAUACAGGUGGAAAGCACUACCUUUUUGGAUACCUGAACACUCAACACCCUAGGGCACUGGGGAGUCCUGUCACUGAAACAAAAGGAACUCUUGCACGACUGACAUUUCCCAACUUCAGGACCAUGAAAGUCCCUUCCAGGUCCCUUGGUAGCACUUCUUAGAGAAGCCAGUGAGGUUCGCAGUACUCACACUAAUGGCUGGGUCAGUCCCUAGAACCCUGAUGCAACCUGAUCCUGCUCAGUUCCUUAAGUUGGGACCCUUGCUUGCCCACGGAAGGCCAGUGCCCCCUCCAGCUGUCCACAGCCUCAGAGACUCAGGGCAUCAGAGCUUUCAGGAAGGGUGGUCAAGAUAGUCCUAGUUUCCUAAGCUAGCCUAUGCUGCCUAUCACCCACCCCCAAGCCUGGGGAGAGCAGCUAUCCUGGGGCCUAGAUGAUGCUUCAGAUCUGAUGAGAAGUGCAAGUAGCUUCAUUAAGAAGUCAUUAAGAACGUCUUUUUAAGAAGAACAUCAGUGGUGCUUUCUUAGUCUGACUUCAUAGUAGUGCACAGGAGACUGGGGAAUAGGGAGGAAAAGGCCAUUACUUACCCCUAGGUCGACCCCAAUGGAAGGGUCCCCAGCAGGUGACACCUGACUCUACUCAACAACUCUCGGGUGACUGUCCUCCUAGUCCUGGUGAAUGACCCCUUGGAGAAACCCUAACACAAAGCCUUGUUCCCCACAAGGCCGGUACACUUGACACGGCAUGCUUCUGUGUAGCCAGUGGUGGGUAGCCACUCCAUGGGCUCUCACUGCCCACCUGCCCUGGGUGCCAUGCUCCGCUCUGGCUUCAGAUGACAGACCCACUAUGGCCUCCAGGCCCUGUUGCCAACACUUCCUUCUGAUACACAGGAUGGCUAUCCAAGGUUACUGGCUCCCCUUCUGCUCACUGGCACGGGGAGCUCGCAGGGAGAUGGCAGGAGCAAACACGUGGCUUUCAAGCACCAGCCAGGAGUGUGGGGAGUGUGUCCUGUGGGAAUUUGGAGACGUGGGCAGAGAGAGCUGGCACUGAGCCCCUCCCACUCCCAAGGACUCCCCCAGGAAAGAGAUGAUCCACUUAGAGCAGAAUUUGGCUGGGUCUCUUCCAUUAUCCACCCCAGAGUGCCAUUGCAGAAGCUCCAACACCUUCACCUUCAGAUGCCGGUGGGUAUGAGUGGGACUCUGGCCAGGUGGGGGGAGGGGUGCUGGUAUAAUUCCUUCCCAGCAUAGUGACAGCCUAAGAGCAGGCUUUAUUCCACCCGUCAGACAUCCAGCAUCCUUCAUGUGAGCUGUGACAUGACCCUCCCUAGUCUACAACCAGCUCUUACUCCAUCGUCCCUUCUUUCCAUCGGGGUUGGCCAUCAGUUGUCAUGUGCUGAGGCCAGCUGUCACUGUUCUGAUACUGGACAGCCUGGAUGGAGAGUGACAUGGAGGAUCUGAAGGCAGAGCCCCAUAGUGUCCCAAGCAUGCACAGGGACUCUGUUCUGUCAUUUGCCUCCCUAACCCCUACCCCUGCCUGGGCUCUUCCUACCCACCCCUACCAAGCUUCGUCUCCCUCUGCACCUCCAUGUUGCAGCCAAGGCAUGUCCUUACCUGCCCGCUCAGAUGGCCCUGGAGGCGGUGGGUGCUGGGACUGUAAAGCCUGGCAAUGUGGGGCAGGGUGAGGCUGGACAGAGGCCUGGACAGCAGAACUUCUGGCCCCCGGACAGACCUGACCUGGCCCUCCACUCCUGGGGCCACCUCAGCUGCUCCUGUGUGCACACACACCCCCUUGGCCCCACAGCCUAGCCCUCUUGGGUCUCUCGGGACUGAGGAGGAGGAGGGAAGGGGACAAGGGCAGAGUCAUCCCCGUGGGCUGGACACAUGGUUACACCAUGGGUCCCUCAUCAAGCCUGAAGCCCUGCACUACAACUGUGUAAAAAAAAAAAAAAAAAAAAAAAAGGGAAGGCUUAGCCCUGCCACCUCUGCCCCCAACCAACUCCUGGUCUCUGUCCACUGAGAAGGAAGGCCCCAAACCGGGACACUUCCAGAUGCUGCCGAAUGGUGCCACACCCUGGUGUGGUUUCUACGGGGCCUCUUUCUCUCUUACUCUGAAGUCACCACUGUUGGAGAUAGAAAAUUAGUAAAAUAAAGUAAAAGAAGAUAAAAGUAGGUGGGCUCCGCCCAUAUGUGCUUUGCGCCCGCUUCUCAGAGAGACUUCUGGCAUUCACAGAUGUUUGCUCUUCAGAUUUGGCCUCCUGCCACCAAGAAGCUCCGCCUGGCUCUCCCUUCCAUGUUCCCCAUGUCUCCCCAUGUCCUGGGAUUCCCCCUGCCUGCCAGGCUCCGGGGCUGCUCACAGUUGCCUGGUGUUUGAUGGCAUCUUGCCCCUCUGGACACUGCAGAAAGAUCAAUGGCCUAAAUGGGAUUGACUCCCAUGGGAGCCUCCCCUCCGCUGUCCCUGUCUGCCAUGGAAAGGAGUGAGCCAGGAAGAGAGAAGCUACACACCGCAGAACACACACACACACACACACACCGCAGAACACACACACACACACACACACACAGGUGGGGGUGGGCUGUCUGAAUAGCUAGGUUGGGCCUGUCCCUGGCUGAAAGUGGCUGUCAUCUGUUCAGGAGGGUUAAGCUGUUUUGUGCCCCAGAAACCCAAAGAAGCUUCCAGAGCUGACCAAUGCCUAGCCAGAAGGAGGGGCUGUGGCUGGAGGGGUGGGGGGGCUGCCCACAGGUCUGAUCCAGGACUGACUUCCUCCUCCCACAGCCUCUGUGGAUUCAAGGAAGAUUCAGCGGCCCCUCCUGCUCUUCCUAGGACUAUGGCUACUGCUGUCACCAGCCCAGACUCUCUUCCUGCCCGCCCCCCUCUGGAGGCGCCAACCAGCCUCUGCCCCAGCUGGUUUAUUUUUAGCUCCUGCCCUGCCUGACACUGCCUUGGAUUUUGCACUGGGAUCUACCCGAAGCCCUUCCUAGGGCAGGCAGGCUCUGACCACCGGAGGGCACAGGGAGGGCUUCCUUCCUUGUGAUUCCAGGAAGUGGCAGGAAGAGUGGUAUUCCUGACCUUCCCGACCAACUGAGAAACGGAGCCUGGGAGGGGAGCCCAGUGAAGCCCAUAGCAGAACAGAGUCAGGGUUCACAGCUAGAGGGGACAGAAGAGGCUGAGGAGCUGGAAUGUCAGUCUGAAGAGAGCAGGGAGGAGCAGUUGCAGUCACAGCAUGAGGCCCAGUCUGUAGGGCACAGGUGGGAACCACAAGUCGGGACCACAGCAGUCUGAGGGUGGACAUUAGGAGAGAGAGAGGUAGCUGUUCAUAGAACAAGGGCCAUGUGAUGAUCGGACUCUAUGGGAGACAUGAUAGCAAGGCCCAUGUGGUGGUAGUGACGGGAUAGUCCCAGGUAGUAGGGAAGAAGAGGGGUUGGGGCAGACGGGCCUGAGAUGUCCAGGGUUUAUGGAGCACCGGACUGGGUCCUCAUGCUCCCAACCUUGCAGAAGGGUUACACCCUUGCACAGGAGAGGGUUUGGGAGAUGAGUGCACACACAGCAGAAUGCACACACGGCAGGAUGCACACUCAGCGACGCUUACUCUGGGACAGAUCUGUGUAAGGCAUACCGCUCAUCAAGAAGGUCCCUGGAAGAUCAGUGGGAAGCCACAAAAAGCAUGUCCACCUUCUUCAGUCCUGCGUGGAACGGGAAGGCCAGAACCCAGCAGGUGACACUGGCAGUGAAGACACCAGCCCAUGGGGGCCCUGGAUGGACCUUGUCAAGUAUGACUCUUUCCUGGUAACCACUCACCGCAGAGGUCCAUCCUGACCAUUUGAGGGGCUUGCUGAAUGGGUUUGAUGAGUGGGUUUUGUUUAGUGGUAUGAUGAGUGGGUUUUGUUUAGUGUGUUCACAGACAGGCACACACAACACUAUGGUCUGUUUGAUGACAUCACCAUGUCCCCUGAAGGAAAAUCCGUACUUUUUAACUGUGUUACCCCCAGACCCUAAUGACCACUACUCUGACUUCUGCCACAAGAGUCAUUCUAUCCCAGACAUUCAUGUCCUGUGUCCAUGGAGUCACACUGCACAUGGUUUGGGUCUUCAUCCCCUGAGUAUGUUACCAAGGUUCAUCCACGUUAGCUGUAUACUUCCACGCUCCAGCCUUUGUAAGGCUGAAGAAUGCUCUGUCAUGUGGGCGUGCCACAUUUCGCAAUAAGAUUUUUGUUGUUUGGGUCGGUGUUUUUCUGAAGUGAUAGAAAUUGAACCCAGGGUCAUGCACAGGCUGGGAAAGUCCUUUAUCUCUAAUGUGCCCCCACAACACCCCAUUCUGCUGACCCAACAGCCCACCUGUUGAUAGACCUUGCACCAUUGUGAAAAAAAAAAAGCUGACGAGAACGCUGGUGCACGGGUUUCUGAGUGGACAGGGGUUUGUAUAUGGUUACCGGGUCCUGUGGGUCACAGCUAUGGGUCAUUUUCAGACAGCAGCCUUGGUGGUGACUUGCAGUGACAGGGGAACCACUGUGGCCAGCUACCAGCUCUAUUGAGACAAGGGCAGGACUGAGCUGUACCUUGGCUCCCAGGUCUCAAUUGGGCUUCCCCUCUCCUGUCCAGACUUGGAGGCAUCCAGCCCAUACCACCAGAUUCGCUGCUAAGGGUGGUCGCUAGGGAUGGUAACCCUAGCGGGAGGCCCAGCCAGGCACUCUAGAUAUUCCUGCUGCAGACAUGCUGUUCAGAGUGCCUUAGGCCACGUGCUGAGGCAGGAGGCACAGUCUUGGGUCGUGUCCUGGGUUCAUGGUAGCAUGCUUUCGGGGUGGCACCCAGGACGGCACUAGAUUCAGAGUCAUCCCCUUCCUUGCGCUGAGCCUCCUCCUGUGCUGGCAGUCUGGGUCCAGGGCACACACUCCCAGCCUCCGCGGUGAACACGGAGCAGGCAGAGUCUGAGCACACGGUACCUGCUGCAUGAAGCGCAGUCCACACUGGCCCUGAUGUGUCUUCUCCUGCCUGUAAUUUUAUCACACGUGGUUUAGGGUCUGCAGAAGGUGCGGCAGGGUGCUGCUUUCAGCCCGGAGAUGGACUGGUUGUAAGUAUUCCGUCUUACACGUUGUUCCCUAGAGCUCCUGCUAACUGGCAGCAUUCCUGCAAACAACAGGCCUCUUCUUGGCUUGGCAGCAUCCUCCUCGCAUAUUGUGCGUUUUCCUCUGAAAUGUUUAACGUGCUAAAGUCUAGCUUCAAUCACACCAGCUCUAGAGCAGACUAAUCACUUAGCCUGAUUGUUGAGCUGCAUUUGGUUCUGGAAUUUUAAAACACGGAAGAAAACAGCCCUACCAAGCUACAUACCCACAGCCCGCUGUGCAGCUGAUCCUUCACAGGAAAAUGUAUUGCCCUCUCUGGGGCUUUGUGGUUGGGUUAGUCUUUACUGGGAGUGAAAAUUGUUUUACCCACCAGCACAGUGCCUAGAAUGUUGGACAGAUGUUAAUUGUGUUACCGAUGCCAAAAUUGGAAACACCUUGCCCCUUCCCAGAGUUGAGCUUUUUGGUUUAAUUACUGUAACUGUGAUGGCUGAAACCGAAGCGUGUGUGCAUUCGGAGCGGGAAACACUGAUGUUAGGAAGUAAUUUCAGAUCUGCUUGGCUGGGGAUGGAGAUAGCAGGUGUGUCAAGGAGCAGGGCUGCUGGCUGAUUCUGGCACGUGUGUCGGGGAGGGGGGAGUAUGACGCUGCCUUCCAUGCGUGCCCACGGGUGUUCGUUAUGCUGUGUUUAUAGCUGGCGGUGAUCUCCCAUCUGCAGUGACUCCAUGAUUCCCAGCCCUAUUCCUUAAAUGCAGAGGCAAACAGCAGUCUGUUCCGGCAGACACAUGCUGCAGGUCGGUUGGUGGUGGACUUGCUGGCCUGGCCCAAGGCCUCUUUUCCAGACCCCUGCAUUGCUCCAAGGUGGCAUGUGUGGGUGAGUGGGGGCUGCUUUGGCAGCCAAGGGAUCUUUUUUAUUUUACAAUUAAUAGAUGCAAACAAGGUAAUAGACUUAGUAUUUUAGAGUCGUCUUUGAUUUAUACAAAGUUAACUAAUAGUUGGAGAGUCCCACGUACUUUUCACGGUUCCCCUGUCCUUCACUUCUGGCAGUGGGGUGAUUUGUCUGGCAGAGCUGGUAUGGACACUGUUAUCAACAGCCAUCUGCUCACCACAUGAGAGUGGACUCUCUCUCGGAGCUGUGCAUUCUAUGGGUUUGGGCAUAGUCACACUGUCACAUCUUCCAUUGCAGCAUCAUAUACAAGCCUCUGUCCACAGAUUCUGCAAUCCACUGUUUCAAGUGAACAAACACGCAAGACCACGAAGAACUCCAGCUCCAGUGACACGGUUGCUAAAAACAUCAACAGCACAGGUGUGCGGAAUAGCGAUGUGUUUACUUCAAGGCGCACUGGAUGUCCAAGGCCCAUAUUCCUCAGACCAUCCCUGUGGCUUUGAGCCUGGAGUGAGAGUGGGCAGCGCUUGAAAAACUCAAGACAACGAUAAAGUGAGGUGACCGCAUGUUAUCUACUGGAAACAAAGUCCCAAGGCUGCUAAUAUUCUCAAGAGAAGGAAAUGACUAUUUGAGUCAGAAAUCAGUGAACAUAAAAUGUUAGUUUUCCUUGUCCAAGUUCCUAGUCCCCAUGGAUUAAGUCUCUAUAGACAUAUGGAAAUAUUGUGAAUCAGAAGAAAUAAAAUGCUAACAGGGAUUUAAAAAAAUGUGUUUUCAAAAUCAAACGUGCUGUUUUUGAAACUCCACCUUCAUCAGCACCAGGUGGGCUUUGACUGCUGUCUGCACAGUGGCUCAGUGAAUUCACUGAGCUGCCCUGAGAAAAAGCAGAUUGAUUAGGAGAAGCUGAUUAAGCUCUGCGGAAGGAGGUGUGAUUAAUGCCUACUCACACAGAAAACAGGAUGGUUACAUUUCACUGUCUUCCCGUGACUCCAAGUCAGUGCCUAAGAGCUCCAAGACGGAAAGGGAGAAAUCCAUUCCAGGGACCCCAGGCAUCCAACAAGCAUCAAGGGUCACUGGUCGCUGCCUGCUGGAGGCCUAAGAAGUUGGUUGCAGGUGCUUCACCAUCAUCACCAUCAUCACCAUCAUCAUUAUCUUCAUCUUCACCACUAUCACCAGAACCAUUGUCUUAUCACCGUUAUCACCAUCAACACCUUCUUCAUCUUCACUAACACCAUCACAUCACCAUCACCUCUAACAUCAUCUUCAUUAACACUUUCAACUCCAUCACCAUCAUCAUAACCAUCAUCUUCGUCACCAUCAUCUUCAACCUAGCCACUGUCACAACCAUCUUCGUGUCUUCAUCAUCACCACCAUCGUGACCAUGACUUUUAUCAUGGUCAUAGUCACUGUCAUUACUGCCGGCAAGCCAGGUCUGAGACUUCCUGGCUGCAGCCUCAUGGGCCCAGAGCCAAGCUUGCUCCUAGCCAGCAAUGUACCACUCCUGCCCUGGAGCCUUCAGCGCCUCCCAUACAGAGUAAGCUGCAGAGACGUCUGUGCUGCUCAAGCUGUUGGUAAAGGAGUGAGCUCAAGGUCCAGAGCAAGCUCGUCCCCCACAACUGUCCUGAGAGGCUGUGAUCAGCAAACCAGCACACCAGCCAAGACUGCCUCCUCCCACGCAGGCUCCUCCACGCCUGUCCAGUCGCUGUGACCUUGAUGGAGUGAGUCUGCCGUCUCCCAGCCCAGGGAGGGUUCUGCUAAAUCUAGCGAUGCUGCUCUCCCUGACAGGUGACACAGUCAAACACCCACCAUAAUCUCUGACUGCUCAGCACCCCAUCAGAUGGUUCGGAGGUGGAAGCAGGAAUGGGGGCUUGCUCUGCCUGAUCUCCACUUCAGUCUACUCGAGAGGUUCCAGAAGAGCGCUCUCUGACUCGUGUGCGGAACGCUUGGAACACUUAGUUCCCAGUUGAUUGCACUAUUUUGGGAGGGUCUACAAACGUCAGUAGGUAGUAGACCUCGUUGGAGAAACAGGUUACUGGGGAC